CACACCUGUUCCCAUGUCGAACACAGCAGUUAAGCUCUCCAGCGCCGAUGGUAGUUGGACUGACGUCCCGCAAGAGUAGGACGCUGCCAGGC
rnacentral:rRNA from 1 species